rnacentral:rRNA from 1 species
AGCGAACGCUGGCGGCAGGCCUAACACAUGCAAGUCGAGCGGGCACCGCAAGGUGUCAGCGGCAGACGGGAGAGUAACACGUGGGAACGUGCCCUUUGGUUCGGAACAACUCCGGGAAACUGGAGCUAAUACCGGAUAAGCCCUUACGGGGAAAGAUUUAUCGCCAAAGGAGCGGCCCGCGUCGGAUUAGCUAGUUGGUGAGGUAAUGGCUCACCAAGGCGACGAUCCGUAGCUGGUCUAAGAGGAUGAUCAGCCUCACUGGGACCGAGACACGGCCCAGACUCCUACGGGAGGCAGCAGUGGGGAAUAUUGGACAAUGGGCGCAAGCCUGAUCCAGCCAUGCCGCGUGAGUGAUGAAGGCCCUAGGGUUGUAAAGCUCUUUUGUGCGGGAAGAUAAUGACGGUACCGCAAGAAUAAGCCCCGGCUAACUUCGUGCCAGCCGCCGCCGUAAU